GGGCUGUUAGCUGCUAGCAGCAGCAGAGCAUCAUGCUUCUCCUUUUUUUUUUAAAUAUAGACAGCCUUUUAUUCUUUGAACUAUUUGUUACAUCAGGAGCUCAGAUUCACAACAGAGCCUCAUACAAUGAUACAUAUCUAGCAACCUGGUUAGCUGAUCUAACUAACACCGUCCAUUAACAAUUCAAAAGAAAUACACUCAAAGCGAGCUGAUUUGAUGUCUUCGCUGCAUGAUGACCUGACCAAGUUCAGACAAUCUGAUGCUAUGGCCACCUUCUUCUAUUUUUUCUGAAUGUAUCGCCGUACCAAAUUGCAGCAUGUAUCGCCAAGGAACACCUAAGAUUACAGAACCACAUUAGCCUCAACAAUUGCAUUCACCGAAAAGAAACAAAGUUACUAUUGUUUCUGAAACUUUCACUCACGAGCAGUACACCAGCUAGUGAAUGUAUAGUAGCAGAAGCUGCAUGUAUCAGGUGCAAAAAUUCACCACCAGCAAGUCGGACUAGUAAAUUAAAUUGCAACAUGUAUCAGUCAAGUAACACCUUACAACACAACUUCACAUCCAGACAUUCAGUUCCUUCAGAAAAAGUUUACUCACCAACACAUGUUAGUCGCGUCUGAAACAAUUCACAGUAGAAAGAGCAAGAACUAGCUAUGUUAAAUAAGAAUAGUUGUGGCCCUAGCAGCAGAGCGAGGGAGGUCGCCGUCGCCCUCAGGAUGUGGUCGCCCGCGGCGCCGGCCGCUUACGUAGGUCCGGUCAAAGGCUGAUGGCGGAUUGGCGGGGCGAGGUGGAGCUUGCCAUCGCCGGAAUCCAAUGAUAGCCAAAUCCUGAGAUUGUUGGGCUUGUUGGAAAUCCGGUGAUUGUUGGGUCGUUUGAAUCGGGGCAACGGGGGUAUCACCAUGGUCGAAUCGUCGGUGGGGAAUUUGGGGGAGACAGGAGGCAGGAGUGCAGGCAAGAAGAAUUUUGCUGGGGCCUGGGGGCGUUCCUGAAAAUUUACCACUACUAGGCGUCUAGGCUGGACGAGG
rnacentral:lncRNA from 1 species